CGUGUAGGCGGCCGAUUAAGCCAGGUGUAAAAUGUUACAGCUCAACUGUAAACCCGCAUCUGGAACUGGUCGGCUAGAGGACGAGAGAGGAAAGUGGAAUUCCUAGUGUAGCGGUGGAAUGCGUAGAUAUUAGGAGGAACACCAGUGGCGAAGGCGGCUUUCUGGCUCGUACCUGACGCUGAGGCGCGAAAGCGUGGGGAGCAAACA
rnacentral:rRNA from 1 species